AAACGACUCUCGGCAACGGAUAUCUAGGCUCUUGCAUCGAUGAAGAACGUAGCGAAAUGCGAUACUUGGUGUGAAUUGCAGAAUCCCGUGAACCAUCGAGUUUUUGAACGCAAGUUGCGCCCGAAGCCAUUAGGUUGAGGGCACGUCUGCCUGGGCGUCACAU
rnacentral:rRNA from 4 species